rnacentral:ncRNA from 2 species
AACCCGACCGACCGGUAGAGUUCUCCCGUCCUACCUGGCAGGUGCGGGAAACCGGUGCGAAUCCGGUACGGUCGCGCCACUGUGAUCGCCACCACGGCGAGAGUCAGACCUCCCCUGCCGCGCAACUCUGG